ensembl:lncRNA
CACAAAUUCAAGCUCAUGUCCCAAUUAGCUAGAUUAAAUGGACAGACGUUCCACAGCACACAUCCUCCAGAGCGUGGAAGGAGGGUGAGCCAUGGUUGGGGCUCUGUGUGGCUCAAACCAUCAGAGUGGUGGAAUUCCAGGAUGGAUCAGGGGCUUUCCUCCUGAUGGAAAAGAGACCACGGAGCCAGGACCACCCAUGCAAGGAGACGACUGAGGCCUACCUAAGAGAAGCAGCAUAGAUCCUGGACCGCUUUUCUACGGUAGGUAUUUCGUUUGAUGCUGCCCCUUCCACCCCACCACCACCAGGUCUGCCCCAGUCUACCGGUCCAGGGGAGGGCCCUGCCCCUGCUAGUCCUAGCAGGAGAUGCCGAGUCCACACAUCUUCCUGGAUCCGUGAUGGGGCUCACGCCAAAGAUUUA